GAUGAACGCUGGCGGCGUGCCUAAUACAUGCAAGUCGAGCGAACAGACGAGGAGCUUGCUCCUCUGACGUUAGCGGCGGGCGGGUAAGUAACACGUGGAUAACCUACCUAUAAGACUGAGAUAACUUCGGGAAACCGGAGCUAAUACCGGAUAAUAUAUUGAACCGCAUGGUUCAAUAGUGAAAGACGGUUUUGCUGUCACUGAUAGAUGGAUCCGCGCCGCAUUAGCUAGUUGGUAAGGUAACGGCUUCCCACCGCGACGAUGCGUAGCCGCCCUGAGAGGGUGAUCGGCGACACUGGAACUGAGACACGGUCCAGACUCCUACGGGAGGCAGCAGUAGGGAAUGUUCCGCAAUGGGCGAAAGCCUGACGGAGCAACGCCGCGUGAGUGAUGAAGGUCUUCGGAUCGUAAAACUCUGUUAUUUGGGAAGAACAAAUGUGUAAGUAACUAUGCACGUCUUGACGGUACCUAAUCAGAAAGCCACGGCUAACUACGUG
rnacentral:rRNA from 1 species